AUUGAACGCUGGCGGCAGGCCUAACACAUGCAAGUCGAGCGGAUGAAGGGAGCUUGCUCCUGGAUUCAGCGGCGGACGGGUGAGUAAUGCCUAGGAAUCUGCCUGGUAGUGGGGGAUAACGUCCGGAAACGGGCGCUAAUACCGCAUACGUCCUGAGGGAGAAAGUGGGGGAUCUUCGGACCUCACGCUAUCAGAUGAGCCUAGGUCGGAUUAGCUAGUUGGUGGGGUAAAGGCCUACCAAGGCGACGAUCCGUAACUGGUCUGAGAGGAUGAUCAGUCACACUGGAACUGAGACACGGUCCAGACGACUACGGGAGGCAGCAGUGGGGAAUAGUGGACAAUGGGCGAAAGCCUUAUCCAGUCAUGCCGCGUGUGUGAAGAAGGUCUUCGGAGUGUAAAGCACUUUAAGUUGGGAGGAAGGGCAGUAAGUUAAUACCUAGCUGUUUUGACGUUACCAACAGAAUAAGCACCGGCUAACUUCGUG
rnacentral:rRNA from 1 species